rnacentral:lncRNA from 1 species
GCCUGCCGCCUGCGCCGCGCAGCCCUCGCGCGCGCCCCGGUGGCUCUUUCCCCCCAGGACCGGUGAGUAGCCCGUAGCGCGCAGGGUGUAGGGCGCCGAGGCUGGGCGCAGAGAGAACAUGUGUAGGUUUGCGAGGCAACCCGAACCACCUGCUGUGAUUCCCCAGUCCGGGCGGAGGGUCUCCAGAGGGUGCUCCUCUGUGGUCCCUGAAGGGAUGUUGGUUUCAAGUCCACCUGCCGGCAACCUGAACCCUUUCCCUCCUAGGGAGAGCUGCUUGCGGCUCUUGGCUGCGUCUUACCUUCCAGCUCCAGAGACACCACACUAGCAUCAGUGCCUGGCCGGAUCCUCGCGUCGCUUCAAACAGGGUCAUCUUUCCCCUCAAUCGCCCCUUGUCUCAGCUUUCUGACUUCUCCCUUUUGCCACCAUACAUGCACCCCCGUGUGCAGCCCCUCACCCGUUCUCGCGGGGAUAAAGCCUCUCCACAAAGUCCGCCUGGACCUGCCUCCGCUCCUUUGCCACAGCCUGGCUCCACAGCCCCACUAUCCCGCCGGAUUGGUUCCCAGACAACCCAGCAAAUAGAAGAAUCUACAUCUUCUGGGAGUCCCCACCCUGUUUUCUCUGGUUCACAGGAUCUGUAACAUGUUUGUUCAAAACUGUGAUGAUCAGGACACAUCAUUCAAGGCAGAUAAGUAACAGGGGAGGAAGGAGAAGGAAAAGCCAACCCGUGAAGGAUUCCAGAUAAUGAAAACAAGGAGGAC